rnacentral:lncRNA from 1 species
ACCAGAAGCAGAACUAUACCCAGCUCCAGUAGAAGUUCUCGGAAUACUGAGAACAGUUGUUUGCUGCACAUAUAUAUUAUCCGAGAAUUCUGGUACUACAUUAUCUAAUUGCCCAUUCACAAUAUCAUCUAAUAUAUUAUGUUCAUCGUCCACUAGCAAUGACAAACUUUUAUAACAUGAUGUCUGUAAUUCUUCUUCUGUAGGCUGCAACAUCGCAAUUACUUGGAUCUGUAAUUACAAUUAAACAUAAAAAUCAUUUCGUUAAAUUUAAUUUUUAAAUAAUUAAAUGCAAAUAUAUUUGAGCAUUCAUGAAAAAAACAUAUCUUUUGAGCAGCCAAAAAUUGUUUAACCAUUUUUUCGUUCAAUAUUUUAUUAG